UGCAUGUUCCAGAUAAGAGGAAAUUACGAUCGCUGUCUUUGCUACUGUGGAGUGAAAUGUGUCAGUCUUUGCUAAACCAGUCACAGGGUAAGCCACAGAUAACACAUGGUUGCAGCAAAUACGGAUUCUGAGAGAAUUCAUGUUGUGAAGAACCAUCUGGGUACAAUAAAAUCUGAGGCCAGGAAGCAUGUGCCACAGCUGGAGAAAAAAAUGAGGGAUUCAUUUCAAGGAUACAACGAGGAAUUUCAAGCUAAUCCACAGAGCCUCCUUGUAUUUGGUGGCUGCUUUUCCUGGUGAUCUAUAGACUGUCUUCUGCUCUCACACGGCUUAUCGUGGCUGUCUCCAACAGCAGCAUCACAUCUCACAUUUGCCCUAUCUUAUGGUCUCAAGCUGGCAGCAGACUGGUCUGGACUCUGUGUUAUCAGUGCCUCUUUAUUGUAAGCAACAGAAACCAUCGUGGCUAAUUUAAACAGAAAAGGAACUUACUGGAGGAUAUUAUGUAGUACCCAGAAUUGUUUGAAAGGGCUGGAAAAUGGGCAAAACCCCCAGAAGACUCCACGGCUGCUGAAUGUGCCCCAGAACUGGUCCUGUGGGUCUUCACAGCUGCUGAACACUGACCUUACUAAUCCUUGACUCACUGAUGCUGGAUGGUCUUGGAUUUUGCUAGUGUUGUCUUCAUGGCUGCUCAUCUUGUUCUUUCUGGAAUAAGAUUCACUAGUGUCCCUGCAUCUGAGCAUCACUAGUUUAAAUUCAAAGUCCAGGGCAGGUAUUUCUGAUUGGUCAAGCUUAGGUCAUGUGCCAGUUCCUUGUCUGCAAAGGAGGCUGGGAAAGCAACUGUCAGGUGCUUCUAGGCUCUGUAGUAGAAAGAAGGCUGUUCCUCCUACCAUGUCUCAUAGGUGGGAAACUUCUCUAACCUAAGAAGGGAAUUUAGAUUCUGGGCAGCCCCCCAAAACCAAAGCCAAAUGGCCACUGUACUCAGAGUCCCUAUUCUUUACAUCUGAAUGAAUAUGAACAUUCUAUUUUGGGUCAGAUAUCCAUGCCUAGACCAAUAGUCUAUGACUGGUGAAGCAAGAUGCCUUUAUACAGAAGGCUACACUUUCCAAAACUGGUUGGGUAUAUUCUUUUCUAAGAAACAGGGGUGUGUGUGAAAUUAUGGCUGGGAAGUCAUGGCUACCUCUCUUUUUUAUGAUGGUUCAUGAUUAAUAUCCUGAGUUACUUGCUAAUUUUCUGUCAGUUGCAUUAAUAUGUUCAGAUGAUUUUUAGCUUCUCUAGAAUAGAAAUGGUUACUGUGGGGCAGUUGGUGGCCUAGUCGACCCCAGAUCUCUUCUAGAAAGUCCAAUUUCUUUUCCUGCUUAGAUAAUGAACAAAUUCAAGCCUACUCCUUGGCUGGAAAUUUGGAGUUGUAGCUUUCUAAUAUUGAUCAGAUUGCGUCUAAUGAAACAACUUUUUGGGGCUUUGAUGAAGGUCUUACAGGUAUUAUCUUUGAGAACACCUACCUGUGUAUCUUUCAGAGAUAGGCUAAGUAUGAAAAUGGAAAUAUGCUUUGGGAAGAUAAAAUAGCACUAAAUAAUAAUUUCUUACAAUUACUUUUGUUCACUCAAAAAAUACAUAUUGAGUGCCUUUUGUAUGCUAGGCACUAUGUCAAACUUUACUAAAGUUAAGUUUUCUUAAAUGGGAAGAUGACCCCUAUAGAUAUUUUUCCAACAAAACAUACAGAUGACCAACAGACACAUGGAAAGAUGCUUAACGUCACUAAUUAUCAAGAAAAUGCAAAUCAAAAGCACAAUGAGAUAUCACCUUAUACCUGUCAGAAUGGCUAAAAUAAAAAAGACAAGAAAUAACACAUGCUGCUGAGGAUGUGGACAAAAAAGGAACCCUUGUGCAUUGCUGGUGGCAAUGUAAACUGGUAUGGCUACUGUGGAAAACAGUACGGAGGUUCCUCAAAAAAGUUAAAAAUAGAAAUACCAUAGGAUUCAAUAAUUCUACUACCGCGUAUUUAUACUGAGAAAACAAAAACACUUGAAAUAUUUGAAAAGAUAUAUGCACUCCUAUGUUUAUUGCAGCAUUAUUUAUAACAUUCAAGGUAUGGAAGCAAACUCAGUGUCCAUUGAUAGAGGAAUGGACAAGGAAUAUGUGGACACUGAUACAGAGGAAUAUUAUGCAGCCUUAAAAAGGAUGAGAUUAUGCCGUUUGCGACAACAUGGAUGGACCUAGAGGUUAUUAUGCUAAGUGAAAUAUGUCAGAGUGAGAAAGACCAAUACCAUAUGAUUUCACUUAUAUAUGGAAUCUAAAAAAAUAAGUGAAUAAACAAACAAAAGCAGAAUUUAUUAACCUAUAAAUACAGAGAACAAUUGAUAGUUGCUAGAGGGGAGGUAGUUGGGGAUGAGCGAAAUGGGUGAAGGGGAGUGGGAGAUACAGCCAUCUGGUUAUGAAAUGAAUAAACCAUGGGAAUAAAAGGGACAACAUAGGGAAUAUAGUGAAAGAUAUUCUAAUAACAUUGCAUGGUGACAGAUGGUAGUUAUAAUUGUGGUGAGCAUAUUAUAAUGUAUAGAGAAGUUGAAUCACUAUGUUGUACACCUGAAACUAAUGUACCAGGUGUGUCUACUCAAAUUAAAAAAAAUUAAAGUUAGUUUUCUUAGCAGUGCUCAUGGUAAAUUGAAAUAAAAGAAAUCUCUUUCAACUGUAGCCAAAUAAAUAACCAGUAAGAGCCAUCUAUGGCUUUGCACAGUAUAAGCCAUAUAUAGCUUUUCAUCUCUAUAUUUUAAUAAUUUGGAUAUUUGGGAUUCAGGUGUGGGGAGACAGGACACCUAGCUCAAUAUUACAGUCCCCCCUCAAGAGAGUUUUAAACUUUUUUUGCAUCUAAUAAAGAAUUCUGAAACUCUGGAGUUUUUGUUUGGGGGCCUGAGUUUUACGAAGUACAACUGGGUAUUUGUUUUGAACGAGGUAAAUGGUGCCAGGAGAAACAAUUAUCAUUAAUGUUUGCUGUUAUUUGAGCUUUACAGAGGAAAAAAAAGAAAGCUCAUGGAAAAUACCAAAGUUGAUAAGUAAUAAAAGGAGUCUAUAGGAAGCAAAACACAACCGAGAAAGAAUAUUACAUGAAAACUCCAUCAUAUUGAAAGGGCAAGAGUAGUAGAAAGAGUUUCUUGAUUAUAUACAGUCAGAUUUUAAAAGCAUAAGGCUGUUAUAUUACAUUUAGUAAAAAUAUUUGGGCUUUGGAAGGAAAAUGUGGAUAUUGAAACACAGGCAAAUAUUAAAAGAAUAUCAGUGAUUUACUGCAUCGUCAACUUAUUUUAUGAAUCCACCUUACAAUCCACACCCAUGUCUAAUCUCUUGUUUUGAAGGUCUGUUGCGUCCCAUAAAGA